rnacentral:rRNA from 1 species
GGGUCAGUAGGUUGGUCGUGCCACCGGUACGUACUGGUCUCACUGAUUCCUCCUUCCUGAAGAACCGUAAUGCCAUUAAUUUGGUGUUGCGGGGGAAACAGGACUGUUACUUUGAAAAAAUUAGAGUGUUUAAAGCAAGCUAACGCUUGAAUACAUUAGCAUGGAAUAAUGGAAUAGGACGAUCGAUCCUAUUUUGUUGGUUUCUAGGAUUGACGUA